rnacentral:misc_RNA from 1 species
UUAAGUUCAGCGGGUAGUCCUACCUGAUUUGAGGUCAAAAUGUCAGAAAUUGUCCAAGUCAAUGGACUGUUAGAAGCUGAACCCCAUGUAAUAGCUGCUUCACAACCAUGGCGUAGAUAAUUAUCACACCAAAGCUGGUCCACAAAGGUUCCGCUAAUGCAUUUAAGAGGAGCUGACUUCUGAGAAGCCUGCAAAAACCU